GACGAACGCUGGCGGCGUGCUUAACACAUGCAAGUCGAACGAAGUGGCGAACGGGUGAGUAAUACGUGGGUAACCUGCCCUCCUUUUUGGGAUAAGCCUUGGAAACGGGGUCUAAUACCGAAUAAAGGGGGAUGGGCUCGCGGCCUAUCAGCUUGUUGGUGGGGUGAUGGCCUACCAAGGCGGUGACGGGUAGCCGGCCGGAGACGGUGAGCGGCGACAUUGGGACGUAGAUACGGCCCAGACUCCUACGGGAGGCAGCAGUGGGGGCUAUUGCACAAUGGGCGAAAGCCUGAUGCAGCGAAGCCGCGUGGGGGAUGAAGGCUUUCGGGUUGUAAACCUCUUUCGCUAUCGAAGGGGUAGGUGGAGAAGAAUCACCGGCUAACUCCGUGCCAGCAGCCGCGGUAAUUC
rnacentral:rRNA from 1 species